AACGUAGGUGGCGAGCGUUAUCCGGAUUCACUGGGCGUAAAGCGCCUGCAGGCGGUCCUGUAAGUGGGAUGUGAAAUCUCCUGGCUUAACUGGGAGGGGUCAUUCCAUACUGCGGGACUGGAGGGCAGAAGAGGGGAGUGGAAUUCCCGGUGUAGUGGUGAAAUGCGUAGAUAUCGGGAGGAACACCAGUGGCGAAGGCGACUCCCUGGUCUGCUCCUGACGCUAAGAGGCGAAAGCUAGGGGAGCGAACGGG
rnacentral:rRNA from 1 species